rnacentral:rRNA from 1 species
UUCUGAAUGAUUUGAUAUUCAGUAGGGCCUGCUCAAUGAUUUUUUCAAUAGCCGCAAUUUUUGUGCUAAGGUAGCGUAAUCAUUUGCCUUUCAAUUGAAGGCUAGUAUGAAAGGUUUGACAUAUAAAUUUCUUUAUUACCUAAAUUAUUUUAACUUUUCUUUCAAGUAAAAAGACUUGUAUGACAAAGAAGGACGACAAGACCCUAUCGAACUUCACUUUUGUUGAACUGGGGCGGUAAAAAACUAAAUCUUUUUCUUUCGUCUUUCUCUAUCUCCAAUCUGGAAAUCAAUUAAGUUACCGUAGGGAUAACAGCACAAUUUUUUCUUAAAGUUCUUAUAAAAGAAAAAGAUUAUGACCUCGAUGUUGAAUAUUUAUCUUUUUGGGGCAAGACCCAAAAAAGAAAGUCUGUUCGACUUUUAAAACUUUACA